GCGCCCGUAGCUCAGGCGGACAGAGCAGCUGCCUUCUAAGCAGCGGGCCGCAGGUUCGAAUCCUGCCGGGCGCGCCA
rnacentral:tRNA from 1 species